UACGUAGGGCGCAAGCGUUGUCCGGAAUUAUUGGGCGUAAAGAGCUCGUAGGCGGCUUGUCACGUCGGUUGUGAAAGCCCGGGGCUUAACCCCGGGUCUGCAGUCGAUACGGGCAGACUAGAGUCCGGCAGGGGAGACUGGAAUUCCUGGUGUAGCGGUGAAAUGCGCAGAUAUCAGGAGGAACACCGGUGGCGAAGGCGGGUCUCUGGGCCGGAACUGACGCUGAGGAGCGAAAGCGUGGGGAGCGAACAGG
rnacentral:rRNA from 1 species